GUGGGGAAUCUUCCGCAAUGGACGAAAGUCUGACGGAGCAACGCCGCGUGAGUGAUGAAGGUCUUCGGAUUGUAAAGCUCUGUUAAUCGGGACGAAAGAGCCUAGUGUGAAUAAUGCUAGGAAGUGACGGUACCGGAAUAGAAAGCCACGGCUAACUACGUGCCAGCAGCCGCGGUAAUACGUAGGUGGCAAGCGUUGUCCGGAAUUAUUGGGCGUAAAGCGCGCGCAGGCGGAUCUGCCAGUCUGUCUUAAAAGUUCGGGGCUUAACACCGUGAUGGGAUGGAAACGACAGAGCUAGAGUAUGGGAGAGGAAAGUGGAAUCCCGAGUGUAGCGGUGAAAUGCGUAGAUAUUAGGAAGAACACCAGUGGCGAAGGCGACUUUCUGGACGAAAACUGACGCUGAGGCGCGAAAGCCAGGGGAGCGAACGGGAUUAGAUACCCUUGUAGUCC
rnacentral:rRNA from 1 species